rnacentral:rRNA from 1 species
CUACGGGCCGCUCCAGUGGGGAAUAUUGCACAAUGGGCGCAAGCCUGAUGCAGCCAUGCCGCGUGUAUGAAGAAGGCCUUCGGGUUGUAAAGUACUUUCAGCGGGGAGGAAGGGAGUAAAGUUAAUACCUUUGCUCAUUGACGUUACCCGCAGAAGAAGCACCGGCUAACUCCGUGCCAGCAGCCGCGGUAAUACGGAGGGUGGCAAGCGUUAAUCGGAAUUACUGGGCGUAAAGCGCACGCAGGCGGUUUGUUAAGUCAGAUGUGAAAUCCCCGGGCUCAACCUGGGAACUGCAUCUGAUACUGGCAAGCUUGAGUCUCGUAGAGGGGGGUAGAAUUCCAGGUGUAGCGGUGAAAUGCGUAGAGAUCUGGAGGAAUACCGGUGGCGAAGGCGGCCCCCUGGACGAAGACUGACGCUCAGGUGCGAAAGCGUGGGGAGCAAACAGGAUUAGAUACCCGCGUAGUC